rnacentral:rRNA from 1 species
UACGUAGGGUGCAAGCGUUGUCCGGAAUUACUGGGCGUAAAGGGCUCGUAGGCGGCCAACUAAGUCGGACGUGAAAUCCCCAGGCUCAACCUGGGAACUGCGUCUGAUACUGGAUGGCUUGAAUCCGGGAGAGGGAUGCAGAAUUCCAGGUGUAGCGGUGAAAUGCGUAGAUAUCUGGAGGAACACCGGUGGCGAAGGCGGCAUCCUGGACCGACACUGACGCUGAGGCGCGAAAGCCAGGGGAGCAAACGGG